UGGGAAAUAGUAAAACGAGAGAAAAAAUUCCUACAGAAAAAAUUCCCCAGAAGGCUGGUUGCCCACGUGGGUGUUGGGCAUUGUGCACACAACACGCACAUCCACUCCACGUGCACGGCACAGGGUCAGAACCUUUGCAUGCAUCCUGACGCAUGUAGGUGGGCCGUCUGCGCAUCACCUCGCACACAAAUAGGCACCGCACAUUGUGCGCGCACCGUCCGCAAAUUAGGCCUAUGCAGAUAGGCCCUGUGCUCCUGUGGCCUGCGUACAAUAGGCCUGUGCUCGCGGUGCUAAAUGCACCAAGGCCCUGUAUGCGCGGCAGGAAACCUAUGCGCCCGUAGGCUAGCUUGCAGUGUGUCGGUCGGAGCGUUGCUACCUCGAGCAGUGCACCACCGCUGCCUUAGGUGAUGCAUCACCGCCACUGGUAGAGGAGGCCUUCCUCCCUCGCUUUUCAUGCCAAACAUCUUUUUCUCCUCUCUC
rnacentral:lncRNA from 1 species